UACAGAGGUCUCAAGCGUUGUUCGGAUUCAUUGGGCGUAAAGGGUGCGUAGGCGGCGGGGCAAGUCGGAUGUGAAAUCUCAGGGCUCAACCCUGAAACUGCAUUCGAUACUGCUCUGCUCGAGGACUGGAGAGGAGAUUGGAAUUCACGGUGUAGCAGUGAAAUGCGUAGAUAUCGUAAGGAAGACCAGUGGCGAAGGCGGGUCUCUGGACAGUUCCUGACGCUGAGGCACGAAGGCCAGGGGAGCAAACGGG
rnacentral:rRNA from 1 species